GUACUCAUAGUAAUGCUUGUAUUGUUGUGGUUUGUUGAGAUUAAUCUGACUUGAAUUGCAAAAAAAAGUUCAUAAAAAUACACUUUUGCGACUCAGCUUAUAAAUAAUUCAAAAUAUUUAUUACGUGUAUCAGUUUAGAUUAUCACCAAGGAACUUCUUCAAGUACAGAACGAUCUAAAAGUGAAAUCAUGUUGAGAGGAGGCGGAGUGGUCUUAUGGGGAGGCCAUACAUCCAUAGUCCGCAAAGGAGGAUGGGGUCACUCUUUCUAUGGACAAAUGAUUCUCGCUGUCAGCCUUCUAUUUUUGCCCUUCUGUGGAGGCCAAGUGGUCGAUCUUGCCACUACAGACCUGGUGCUGGAAGUAUGCAGCCGAUCGCAG